rnacentral:rRNA from 1 species
UAGUCCACGCCGUAAACGAUGUCUACUAGCCGUUGGGGAACUUGAUUCUUUAGUGGCGCAGCUAACGCACUAAGUAGACCGCCUGGGGAGUACGGCCGCAAGGUUAAAACUCAAAUGAAUUGACGGGGGCCCGCACAAGCGAUGGAGCAUGUGGUUUAAUUCGAUGCAACGCGAAGAACCUUACCAGGUCUUGACAUACAGCGAACUUUCCAGAGAUGGAUUGGUGCCUUCGGGAACGCUGAUACAGGUGCUGCAUGGCUGUCGUCAGCUCGUGUCGUGAGAUGUUGGGUUAAGUCCCGUAACGAGCGCAACCCUUGUCCUUAGUUGCCAGCGAGUCAAGUCGGGAACUCUAACAAGACUGCCAGUGCAAACUGUGAGGAAGGUGGGGAUGACGUCAAAUCAUCACGGCCCUUACGUCCUGGGCUACACACGUGCUACAAUGGUAGGUACAGAGAGCAGCCACAACGCGAGUUGGAGCGAAUCUAUAAAACCUAUCAC